CCUACCUGGUUGAUCCUGCCAGUAGUCAUAUGCUUGUCUCAAAGAUUAAGCCAUGCAUGUCUAAGUCCAAGCUGUGCUUGUCACGGCGAGACCGCGGACGGCUCAUUAAAUCAGUCGUGGUCCAGAUGGGCCAGUUUUGAACCUACUUGGAUAACUGUGGUAAUUCCAGAGCUAAUACAUGCAACCCUUAUCCUGAUGGCGUCGCUCUCUCUUGUAGGGUAGUGAUCGUUCUGACGGAUGCUUUUAUUAGACCAAACCGCUGGGGGCAGUGCGCGCUGGCUUCGUGCGGGCCGCACUGCUUGACUCGUUUAAUGGUGACUCUGGAUAACCUUUCUGACAAGCGCACGUACCCACUCCUUUGGGCGGGACGGCGCUGCCACUUUCGAGUGUCUGCCUUAUCAGCUAUCAACCGUUCGUUAUGUGCGACCGAUGGCUUUGACGGGUAACGGGGAAUCAGGGUUCGAUUCCGGAGAGGCAGCCUGAGAAACGGCUACCACGUCCAAGGACGGCAGCAGGCACGCAAAUUACCCAAUCCCAGCAUCUGGGGGAGGUAGUGACGAAAUCUAACGAUGCGGGCGCCCUUUCUAGGGCCCCGCAAUCGGAAUGAGCGCUUUCUAAACAACCCGUUGAGAACCUACUGAAGGGCAAGUCUGGUGCCAGCAGCCGCGGUAAUUCCAGCUUCAGCAGCAUCUAUUAAAGUUGCUGCGGGUUAAAAGGCUCGCAGUUGAAUGUCAGUGCCGAGCGCAGGUCAGGUGGACGCUGGAGCGUGAGAAAUCCUAGGCGUGCUUCGGUGGUGUCGUGUGUCUCGUGUUCGCACUUGACCGCGGCGCUCCGUCGUUUCGUCUCUCACCAGCUCCCGUCCGUAACAAGCCUCCUCGCUCUUGUACAUAUGGUUAUCGGUGAAACGGAGUGUGCGUGGCGGUGUCCCUCGUACUCGUUCGUUGGACGUUGGGUGUGCUCGGUUGCUCUCGCGUCGGCUUAACCGCCGGUGUGGGGUGCCGUGUUGCGCUCGGCUCUGGCAGCGGGAUCAUGCGUUGGUCGCUCGUCCGCACGUUGAGCUCCUUCGGUAUCAGAGUCACCUUGAGUAAAUCAGAGUGCUCAAAGCAGUCGUAAGGGCCUUGCGCCCUGCGAACAGUCUUGACGGACUGACUUGGUUUUGCAUGGCAUGUCGGAAUAAGACGUCGCGUGCUGGCUCAGAGAUUAAAUCAGUGAUGGAAGCCAGCACCGACGUACUGAUUAAAAGGAACGGUCGAGGGCAUUGGUAUUGCGAGGCGAGAGGUGAAAUUCUAUGACCCCCGCAAGACCUCCUGAAGCGAAAGCGUCUGCCAAGGACGUUUUCAUUAAUCAUGAACGAAAGUUAGAGGAUCGAAGGCGAUCAGAUACCGCCCUAGUUCUAACCCUAAACGAUGCCAACCAUCAAUCCGCGCGUAGUACCCUUCUUAACGGGCUCGGCGGGCAGCUCCCACUCACGGGAAACCAGAGUCUCUGGGUUCCGGGGGGAGUCUGGUUGCAAAGCUGAAACUUAAAGGAAUUGACGGAAAGGCACCACCAGGCGUGGAGCUGCGGCUUAAUUUGACUCAACACGGGCCAUCUCACCAGGCCAGCACUCUUGUACGAUUGACAGAUUGAGAGCUCUUUCUCGAUUCAGUGGAUGGUGGUGCAUGGCCGUUCUUAGUUGGUGGAGUGAUUUGUCUGGUUAAUUCCGAUAACGAACGAGACUCUCCCCUGCUAACUAGUCGGUUGGAUCUUGCUUACGUUCGGUGAGUUGUACGCCGGGAACACUCGUUGCUUUGGCGCGUCUGCUGUGGGUUUCUCACGAUUCUCGCGCUCUCGCCCUUGGCUUCGGGACUCGGGCCGUGCACUCCAAGUCCGCCGCUUAUUCUUAAACUCUUCUUAGAGGGAUUGACGGAUCUGAAGCCGUCAGAGACUGAGAGCAAUAACAGGUCUGUGAUGCCCUUAGAUGCUCUGGGCCGCACGCGCGCUACAAUGCCGGGCACAGCAGGUGUUUUUCCUGCUCCGUCAGGACAGUAACCCUCUGAAAGCCCUACUGUUUUUUCGUGUCUGACACGAGCGGCGUGCUUGGGCCUGGGGCUUGCAAUUGUUUCCCACAAACGAGGAAUGCCUAGUAGCGGCGGGUCACUGAGCCCGCUGUGACUCAGUCCCUGCCCUUUGUACACACCGCCCGUCGCUACUACCGAUUGGGUGUACCAGUGAGAGCCUUGGACUGGCGUCCGCUGCCUUUGGGCAAGCGGGUCCGACGGAAAGAGGUCCGAACUGGUGCACUUAGAGGAAGUAAAAGUCGUAACAAGGUUUCCGUAGUGAACCUGCGGAAGGAUCAUUA
rnacentral:rRNA from 1 species